GUUGAUUCCCAUGAGGUUCAUCUGUUGAGAAGGUCAGUGAUCACCUGUGGUACUGUCUGGCCUUUGGUCACCAUCUCAUUCCCGACCUUCACUCUGGGGUAGCACAGAGCUUUCAGCAUGUCAGCAGAGUUGAGCCCCAGGAGAACCAGCAGCUCGAACCAAAUAUGAAUGGAUGGGUCUAAUAUGGUUCCCUCAUAAUAAGAAAUCCUGCUGUGGUGACAUCUGAUGGAAAAUCAACAUGCAUAUUCCCAUCAGACUGCACGUGAUCAUACACUUUUACAAGACAAAAGAGUGGUGCAGGUCUCUGAGUACCACAAAAGGUGAACGCAGUAUGAGGUGAAACGUUGACACGGAUUUGUCCUUCAGCAAGGGGGUUAAAUUAAGAUGCGUUCAAUUAUAGCAGCAACAGGGAGCAACAUUUCUUCCGUUUCCUUCAUGACCCUGAAUCUUCUCUUGGCAGAAGUAAGAAUCUUCAGGAAGAACACAGGGUUUACUCAAGAGACCCAAAGGCCAGCAGACCUUAUAAGCUCUGGAAAGUGUGUCAUGCUUUACAGCUGUUUGCUUGAGCCUUCUUAAGGUUAAUAAAAAUAGAUCAAGGUUGUGGCCAUUUGUCUUCUGCUGCAUCUGAAGGAGUGAUGGCGAAGAGAACACGUGAGAUCCUCAGUGUUUCUCUGAGGAGCUCUAGUGUGAUUUCCCAUCCAUCCUAGCGAGUCUUUACGGUCUCAAGCAUCCAAACACCGAACAGGACGGAGCUUCUACACUCACUUCUGAAAGUGCCUCAGAGUGGAGCAGUUUUUGAAGUCUGCCGCAAACGUGCCAAUUAUUGUGAGUACAUGCUGGUAGAACUGCCCUCUCACCACUAGAGGUCAGUGACCUUUAUUGGCAUCAUUUUUCAUUCCUAAUCCAACUCAGCAUUACGAUUCAACAAUAAUGAUUAAAUUGUGGUUCUGAAUAAACAAUACUUUAUAAAUUAUGAUUUCAGAAAACAUAAGCUGCAGAUGAAAGGUAUUUGUCAAAUG